CACUCCUACGGGAGGCAGCAGUGGGGAAUAUUGCACAAUGGGCGCAAGCCUGAUGCAGCGACGCCGCGUGGGGGAUGAAGGCCUUCGGGUUGUAAACUCCUUUCGCUAGGGACGAAGCUUUUUUGUGACGGUACCUAGAUAAGAAGCACCGGCUAACUACGUGCCAGCAGCCGCGGUAAUACGUAGGGUGCGAGCGUUGUCCGGAAUUACUGGGCGUAAAGGGCUCGUAGGUGGUUUGUCGCGUCGUCUGUGAAAUUCUGGGGCUUAACUCCGGGCGUGCAGGCGAUACGGGCAUAACUUGAGUGCUGUAGGGGUAACUGGAAUUCCUGGUGUAGCGGUGAAAUGCGCAGAUAUCAGGAGGAACACCGAUGGCGAAGGCAGGUUACUGGGCAGUUACUGACGCUGAGGAGCGAAAGCAUGGGUAGCGAACAGGAUUAGAAACCCCAGUAGUCCC
rnacentral:rRNA from 1 species